UGGACUACAAGGGUAUCUAAUCCCAUUCGCUCCCCUAGCCUUCGCGCCUCAGCGUCAGAAACGGCCCAGGGGGCCGCCUUCGCCACGGGUAUUCCUGCCGAUCUCUACGCAUUUCACCGCUACACCAGCAAUUCUACCCCCCUCUACCGUCCUCUAGCUUACCAGUCUACUCAGCACCCUCCCCGUUGAGCAGGGAGAUUUCACUGAAUACUUGGUAUGCCGCCUGCGCGCGCUUUACGCCCAGUAAAUCCGGACAACGCUUGCAUCCUACGUAUUACCGCGGCGGCUGGCACUC
rnacentral:misc_RNA from 1 species